GAUGAACGCUGGCGGCGUGCUUAAUACAUGCAAGUCGAGCGAACAGACGAGGAGCUUGCUCCUCUGACGUUAGCGGCGGACGGGUGAGUAACACGUGGAUAACCUACCUAUAAGACUGGGAUAACUUCGGGAAACCGGAGCUAAUACCGGAUAAUAUAUUGAACCGCAUGGUUCAAUAGUGAAAGACGGUUUUGCUGUCACUUAUAGAUGGAUCCGCGCCGCAUUAGCUAGUUGGUAAGGUAACGGCUUACCAAGGCAACGAUGCGUAGCCGACCUGAGAGGGUGAUCGGCCACACUGGAACUGAGACACGGUCCAGACUCCUACGGGAGGCAGCAGUAGGGAAUCUUCCGCAAUGGGCGAAAGCUUGACGGAGCAACGCCGCGUGAGUGAUGAAGGUCUUCGGAUCGUAAAACUCUGUUAUUAGGGAAGAACAAAUGUGUAAGUAACUAUGCAUGUCUUGACGGUACCUAAUCAGAAAGCCACGGCUAACUACGUG
rnacentral:rRNA from 1 species